GUUCCCUUUGGAAGCACUUACUAAACUGGGAAUAAUAAGAGAAAAUCAGCAUGGCUUGUAUGCAAGAAUGACAUUUCAAUUUGUAAAGCAUUCCUUAUGUAA
ensembl:snRNA U6 U6 spliceosomal RNA